UACGGGGGGGGCAAGCGGUGUUCGGAAUUACGGGGCGUAAAGGGCUCGUAGGUGGCCAACUAAGUCAGACGUGAAAUCCCUCGGCUUAACCGGGGAACUGCGUCUGAUACUGGAUGGCUUGGAUUCGGGAGAGGAAUGCGGAAUUCCAGGUGUAGCGGUGAAAUGCGUAGAUAUCUGGAGGAACACCGGUGGCGAAGGCGGCAUUCUGGACCGACAUUGACGCUGAGGAGCGAAAGCCAGGGGAGCAAACGGG
rnacentral:rRNA from 1 species